CGGGCUGGAGCCAAGGGGCGAUAAGGCAUCGGCGCCUCCUGGCUUUCCUGGAAAGGCUGGGGAGUCCCGGUUUAAACGGGAAUGAAGCAGAAGACAGGAAAUUCGGGUUCUGCCUUCCCCCCCCCCCCCCCCCCCCCUCGGUGGGGAGUGUUGAGGGGGAUUAGGAGAGUAUGAAUGUUUUUAACAAAAUCCUCGAAAAGAGGGAAUUCCCUUUUUCCUAUAUUAAAAGAAAAUAAAUUGCAUUCCAUCCAACCUGGCAGACUGUGGUGGGGCUGGAAGUUGUGACAUCCCAAGUGAGCGGGAAGAACUGAUUGCAGUGCAAAAUCAGGUGGCAUACAUUAUGGAUGAACUGGAUGCAAGGAUCUGGAAGAUAUCAAUGGUAUUAUUUCCCUUCACUCCAGCUACCCAGCAAGGCAACUGCUCACUGAAGAUAUUCCUUGUUUGAUAGCUACCAGAGAUCAAAACCAGGCCCUCUGUUUGCAAUUUGUUCAAUGCAGGUUUAGCUCCUUCAUGCCUAUGGGAGAGCAGACAACUGCUUCAUGUGGCAUCAUCUAUUUCCUAUAAAACAGCAUGACAAUCCCAUCUGUCUUAACAGUGCUUUUGGUGACGUCAGGAAAGCUGUCUCUGAUCAAAGAGAGGUUAAGGAGCAAUGGCAUACCACGGGAGAGUGGUGUGAAGAUGAAUGUCUGAGAGUGCUCCAUGAGGAUCCCUGACUGCUGAAGGACCCAGCGGGAUCAAGCUGCUCAUCCGUCUAGGACAAGCAGGUAGGGAGAGGGGAACACAGAGCCACUCAUGGCUCAGAGACUUCUGGAGACAACACCUCUGACUCUGUGUUUUCCUCUUGCAGCAGAUGAGGCCGUGCACCCAGUUUUCAUGAACAGCACAUAGGGUAGUGUCAAGCGACAAGUAAGAGGCAGUCAUCUCACAAGAGCACUAUAGUGCCAGAGAGGGACACAGAGGGGGUGUGGUAUAAAUAAAUACAUUUCAGAAGUGGUUUACAAUGUUCCCCUAAUUUAAUGUCAACCUUAUUUUUUAUACCCAUUGUAUUUGCCAUGGCUUCACAUCCUUUCCUUUCAGCAGCAGCAUACUUACAUCAGAACAUCAAUUUGCCAUUGUAAUUAUAUUGGACUGUGGCCUCCACAGAACUCCACUAAAAUUGUUUCAUCUAAUUUUGUCUGAAGACCGUAGCAUUGUCUCCAUAGACUUUCACCAAAAUUGGCUCAUUUUGCUUCAGAUUAUAUUUUCCCUGCAGGGUUACAUUAUUAUGGCCUGCACUUGCUCCUCGGUGCCGGAAACACACACUUUAAUGCAGCUCAGGUCAUGAGUUAAAUGCCUUUUUAUGUUUUUUUGUGGGGCGAGCUCUGCGUACUUGUGGGCAGGGCACCACCAGAGACCUUAGCGCUGCCUGCCGUGAUGUGGAGAGGGCCAGAGGAGCCUGCAGUUGGGUGAGUAUGAAGCUGAAAUUAGCUUCUCGUUCAGGCAGCUCGAUGCCUCUGUUACUGGGGUGGGGGAAAGGUGAGGGCAUCUGCAGAAGCAGCGGGGACCAUGGCUUCCCUUGUUUCCAACAAUCAACCUGUUGUAGGGCUCUCACUCCUUUGUCAUUCAUAAGAGCUACUGCAGCGGAAAGGCACUUUCUUUUUUUCUAACUGAAAUGGCCUUUAAUAAAGCUAUUGUAUU